AUUGAACGCUGGCGGCAGGCUUAACACAUGCAAGUCGAGCGAGCGGCGGACGGGUGAGUAAUGUAUGGGGAUCUGCCCGAUAGAGGGGGAUAACUACUGGAAACGGUGGCUAAUACCGCAUACUAUCGGUUGAACCCAUAUUGGAUUAGCUAGUAGGUGGGGUAAAGGCUCACCAAGGCGACGAUCUCUAGCUGGUCUGAGAGGAUGAUCAGCCACACUGGGACUGAGACACGGCCCAGACUCCUACGGGAGGCAGCAGUGGGGAAUUUUGGACAAUGGGGGCAAUCCUGCUGCAGCCAUGCCGCGUGUAUGAAGAAGGCCUUAGGGUUGUAAAGUACGUUAAGCGGGGAGGCGGUACCCGCAGAAGAAGCACCGGCUAACUCCGUGCCAGCAGCCGCGGUAAUUC
rnacentral:rRNA from 1 species